rnacentral:tRNA from 2 species
GGCCUGAUGGUCUAGUAGUAUGAUUCCUUGUUAGGGUGGUAGUAACCGCGUAUCGAGGAGGUCCCGGGUUCAAUUCCCGGUCAGGCCC